AUACGUAGGUGGCGAGCGUUGUCCGGAUUUACUGGGUGUAAAGGGAGCGUAGGUGGCAUAGCAAGUCAGAUGUGAAAGCCCGGGGCUUAACCUCGGGACUGCAUUUGAAACUGCUAAGCUAGAGUACAGGAGAGGCAAGUGGAAUUCCUAGUGUAGCGGUGAAAUGCGUAGAUAUUAGGAGGAACACCAGUGGCGAAGGCGGCUUGCUGGACUGUUACUGACACUGAGGCUCGAAAGCGUGGGGAGC
rnacentral:rRNA from 1 species